rnacentral:rRNA from 1 species
GGUUAAGUUAAUAAGGGCGCACGGUGGAUGCCUUGGCACUAGGAGCCGAAGAAGGACGUGACAAACGACGAUAUGCCUUGGGUAGCUGUAAGUAAGCGAUGAUCCAGGGAUUUCCGAAUGGGGGAACCCAACAGGUACUACCUGUUACCCGCAUCUGUUAAGGAUGUGAGGAGGAAGACGCAGUGAACUGAAACAUCUAAGUAGCUGCAGGAAGAGAAAGCAAAAGCGAUUGCCUUAGUAGCGGCGAGCGAAACGGCAGGAGGGCAAACCGAAGAGUUUACUCUUCGGGGUUGUAGGACUGCAAUGUGGACUCAAAGAUUAUAGAAGAAUGAUUUGGGAAGAUCAGCCAAAGAGAGUAAUAGCCUCGUAUUUAAAAUAGUCUUUGUACCUAGCAGUAUCCUGAGUACGGCGGGACACGUGAAAUCCCGUCGGAAUCUGGGAGGACCAUCUCCCAACCCUAAAUACUCCCUAGUGACCGAUAGUGAACCAGUACCGUGAGGGAAAGGUGAAAAGCACCCCGGGAGGGGAGUGAAAUAGAACCUGAAACCGUGUGCCUACAACAAGUUCGAGCCCGUUAAUGGGUGAGAGCGUGCCUUUUGUAGAAUGAACCGGCGAGUUACGAUAUGAUGCGAGGUUAAGUUGAAGAGACGGAGCCGCAGGGAAACCGAGUCUGAAUAGGGCGCAUUAGUAUCAUGUCGUAGACCCGAAACCAUGUGACCUACCCAUGAGCAGGUUGAAGGUGCGGUAAGACGCACUGGAGGACCGAACCAGGGCACGUUGAAAAGUGCUUGGAUGACUUGUGGGUAGCGGAGAAAUUCCAAACGAACUUGGAGAUAGCUGGUUCUCUCCGAAAUAGCUUUAGGGCUAGCGUCGACAUAAAGAUUCUUGGAGGUAGAGCACUGUUUGGGUGAGGGGUCCAUCCCGGAUUACCAAUCUCAGAUAAACUCCGAAUGCCAAUGAAUUAUGGUCGGCAGUCAGACUGCGAGUGCUAAGAUCCGUAGUCGAAAGGGAAACAGCCCAGACCACCAGCUAAGGUCCCAAAAUAAUUGUUAAGUGGAAAAGGAUGUGGGGUUGCACAGACAACUAGGAUGUUAGCUUAGAAGCAGCUAUUCAUUCAAAGAGUGCGUAAUAGCUCACUAGUCGAGUGACCCUGCGCCGAAAAUGUACCGGGGCUAAAACAAUUUACCGAAGCUGUGGAUACCUUUAUAGGUAUGGUAGGAGAGCGUUCUAUGUGUGAUGAAGGUAUACCGUGAGGAGUGCUGGAACGCAUAGAAGUGAGAAUGCCGGUAUGAGUAGCGAAAGACAGGUGAGAAUCCUGUCCACCGUAAGACUAAGGUUUCCAGGGGAAGGCUCGUCCGCCCUGGGUUAGUCGGGACCUAAGGAGAGACCGAAAGGUGUAUCCGAUGGACAACAGGUUGAUAUUCCUGUACUAGAGUAUGUAGUGAUGGAGGGACGCAGUAGGCUAACUAAAGCAGACGAAUGGAAGUGUCUGUCUAAGCAGUGAGGUGUGAAUUGAGUCAAAUGCUUAAUUCUAUAACAUUGAGCUGUGAUGGGGAGCGAAGUUUAGUAGCGAAGUUAGUGACGUCACACUGCCAAGAAAAGCUUCUAGCGUUUAAACAUACUCUACCCGUACCGCAAACCGACACAGGUAGUCGAGGCGAGUAGCCUCAGGUGAGCGAGAGAACUCUCGUUAAGGAACUCGGCAAAAUGACCCCGUAACUUCGGGAGAAGGGGUGCUGACUUUAGGUCAGCCGCAGUGAAUAGGCCCAAGCAACUGUUUAUCAAAAACACAGCUCUCUGCUAAAUCGUAAGAUGAUGUAUAGGGGGUGACGCCUGCCCGGUGCUGGAAGGUUAAGAGGAGUGCUUAGGAGUAAUCCGAAGGUAUGAAUUGAAGCCCCAGUAAACGGCGGCCGUAACUAUAACGGUCCUAAGGUAGCGAAAUUCCUUGUCGGGUAAGUUCCGACCCGCACGAAAGGCGUAAUGAUUUGGGCACUGUCUCAACGAGAGACUCGGUGAAAUUUUAGUACCUGUGAAGAUGCAGGUUACCCGCGACAGGACGGAAAGACCCCAUGGAGCUUUAC